UCCGGCGGCCAUAAUGUGAUGGUCCCACCUGAUCCCAUCCCGAACUCAGAAGUGAAACAUUGUAACGCCGAUGGUAGUGUUGGGUUUCCCAAUGUGAGAGUAGGUCACUGCCAAAC
rfam:Haemophilus pittmaniae HK 85 ctg1129913985427, whole genome shotgun sequence.